GAUGAACGCUGGCGGCGUGCCUAAUACAUGCAAGUCGAGCGCAGAGGGGUGGUACUUGUACCAACUGGGUGAGCAGCGGACGGGUGAGUAACGCGUGGGGAAUCUGCCUUUGAGCGGGGGACAACAUCGGGAAACGAAUGCUAAUACCGCAUAAAAACUUGAAACACAAGGUUCAAGAGUGAAAGAUGCAAUUGCAGCACUCAAAGGUGAUCCCGCGUUUUCUUAGCUAGUUGGUGAGGGAAAGGCCCACCCAAGCGAAGCUACAUAGCCGACCUUGAAGGGUGGUCGGCCCCAUUUGGACUUGGACACCGCCCCAGCUCCUUCGGGGGGCAGCAGUAGGGGAUCUUCGGCCAUGGGCGGAAGUCUUACCGGGCCACGCCGGCUGGGUGGAGGAGGUUCUCCGGUCGUUAAACUCUGUUUGUAGAGAAGAACGUUGGUUAGAGUUGACAGCUCAUCAAGUGACGGUAACUACUCAGAAAGGCACGGCUAACUACGUG
rnacentral:rRNA from 1 species